AUACGUAGGGUGCGAGCGUUGUCCGGAAUUACUGGGCGUAAAGAGCUCGUAGGUGGUUUGUCGCGUCGUCUGUGAGAUUCCGGGGCUUAACUCCGGGCGUGCAGGCGAUACGGGCAUAACUUGAGUACUGUAGGGGAGACUGGAAUUCCUGGUGUAGCGGUGAAAUGCGCAGAUAUCAGGAGGAACACCGGUGGCGAAGGCGGGUCUCUGGGCAGUAACUGACGCUGAGGAGCGAAAGCAUGGGUAGCGAACAGGAUUAGAUACCCUGGUAGUCCAUGCCGUAAACGGUGGGCGCUAGGUGUAGGGGUCUUCCACGACUUCUGUGCCGUAGCUAACGCAUUAAGCGCCCCGCCUGGGGAGUACGGCCGCAAGGCUAAAACUCAAAUGAAUUGACGGGG
rnacentral:rRNA from 1 species